AACAUCAAAAAUUAAAAAUUACUUCUUCGUCCGAAGUACAGGGUUAUCAUAAAUGAUUGUAGUCGAAGUAGGCGCUGACGCAAUUGUUUUGAUGUGCCGCUUCUUACUUUCAAAAAAUUAUUAAUUAUAGUCCACUAAAGUUAUGGGGAAUUUUUGUUUUGCUUUGCUGUCAGAAAAAUGUCAUACUGGUCAUAUGUCAUAAUACUUUCCCGCGCACGUCUUGUUUACUUGUGUUGUUGUUCCAGUCUUCUUUGUUAUAAAUUAAAUUGAAUUAAACCAGUUUUUAUCAAAACUACAACGAUUUGAUAACAGCGAUUAAGGUUAAGAUGGGGUACACUCUUGAACAAAAUACGUUUAUUGUUAUGUCUUACUAUCGAAAUGGGACGUUAAAUGCGGACGGGGAAUGGGUGUAUUCUGUUCAAGCUUGCAAGGAUGAGUAUUUGGCAAAAUUUCCAGAAUUAAACAUUGAAGAACAGUCUAAUGACACACAUAAAAAGAAUCGUUGACCGAUUCAACAGCACUGGAAAUGUUUCUAAAGGCAAGUCACCAGGAAGGCCUCCAGUUAGUGAAGAGGUGGUCGAAGAUUUGAGGGAAAGAAUGGAGCAAAGCCCAAAAAAAUCUUUGAGUAAACUGUCUUUGCAAUCUGGUGUCCCAUACACCACUUGUCAGAAAGUUUUAAAAAGAACAUUACAUAUGCAUCCCUAUAAAGUAUCGUCAAUCCAUGAACUUAAACCAGCUGAUUAUCCUCGUCGUGUUGCAUAUUGUGAAUGGUUUCAAAACAACAUGAACAACAGAAUUUUGGAUUUGUCAUUUUUUUCAGAUGAAGCAUGGUUUCAUCUAAAUGGCUACGUUAAUUCGCAAAAUUAUAGAGUUUGGAGUGCUGAAAAUCCUUUUGUUUUUGAAGAAAGGCCUUUACACUCUGUUAAAGUUGGCGUGUGGUUAGCGGUUUCGCGUAGAAGAGUGAUUGGGCCAAUAUUCUUUCACAACACAAUUAAUUCCGCAAGGUAUAGGGAGCAAAUAUUAGAGGUGUUUCUAAACCACUUGGAUGAUGAGGAAUUGGAAUUUGGUUACUUCCAACAAGACGGAGCCCCAGCCCAUAAAACAAUGGAAAUUUUAAGAUACUUGCAAGAAUUUUAUGGGGAUCGUAUAAUAAGUCAAAAUCUUAAUCCAGAGUGGCCUGCUCGUUCACCUGAUUUGACUCCACUUGAUUAUUCAAUAUUUGGAUGGAUGAAAGAUAACAUAUACAAACAUCGAUUACAUACUUUGGAAGAACUAAUGGAUGCAAUUAUACAUUGUUGUCAAAAUAUUGAUGUAGUGAUGUUAGAAAACAUUUUUGAAAACAAAAAAAGAAGGGUAGCUUUAUGUUUACAGCAAAACGGGGAACAUUUCCAGCAUCUUUUAUAAUUGAAAGUAAUUAGCUUUUGUUGACAAUGAUUUAAUAAUGAAUAAUGAAGUAUUUGAUGAAAUGGAAGAAUUUGAAUGCUUUGAUGUUCAUGGAGUAACCUAAUUAAGAGCUGAUCAUUUUCACAGUAUGAGUGAUUGCGCAGGUUUUAAAAAGUUUCAGAUGACCAAUGAAACAGUGAUGUGUAUUUCACCUUUGCUAGAACAUCAUCUAGAAUUUUCUGUAGAUAUCAGUCAAAGUUUCUCUUCAAUGAACUAACUCUUAAUUGGUUUAUGAUAUUUCGUUGGUAGAGCGCACUUAGAGUGUACUAUGGAUUUUAUGGACAUUCAUCAAACAAUAGUGGUUAGAAUAAUUCCUUGAGUACCCAGAGCAGUGAUUAUACUGUACCAAAAAAUUUUUGUGAUGCCUCAAAUUGUAGAGGAGCAAGCAAAUGUGAAAGAUUGUUGUUCAUCUAGCUCGUUUUCCAGACUUCAUUGGCGCCUUGGACUGCAUAUGCACAUAUAAAAAUUAAAUUACCAGUUUUAGGUGGAGAAGAUCCGGAAAUUUUUAGAAAUCAGGAAGAUUAUAUCUUCAUUAAUGUACAAGCCAUAUGUGAUGAAAGGAUUAAAUUUCAAAUAUUGUGGCACAAUGAUCAAUAGCUACACAUGAUAGUACUAUUUUUAAUCA